AGUCGAGCGAGACCUUCGGGUCUAGCGGCGGACGGGUGAGUAACGCGUGGGAACGUGCCCUUUGCUACGGAAUAGUCCCGGGAAACUGGGUUUAAUACCGUAUGUGCCCUUCGGGGGAAAGAUUUAUCGGCAAAGGAUCGGCCCGCGUUGGAUUAGGUAGUUGGUGGGGUAAUGGCCUACCAAGCCGACGAUCCAUAGCUGGUUUGAGAGGAUGAUCAGCCACACUGGGACUGAGACACGGCCCAGACUCCUACGGGAGGCAGCAGUGGGGAAUCUUAGACAAUGGGGGCAACCCUGAUCUAGCCGUGCCGCGUGAGUGAUGAAGGCCUUAGGGUUGUAAAGCUCUUUCAGCUGGGAAGAUAAUGACGGUACCAGCAGAAGAAGCCCCGGCUAACUCCGUGCCAGCAGCCGCGGUAAUACGGAGGGGGCUAGCGUUGUUCGGAAUUACUGGGCGUAAAGCGCACGUAGGCGGACUGGAAAGUUGGGGGUGAAAUCCCGGGGCUCAACCUCGGAACUGCCUUCAAAACUAUCAGUCUGGAGUUCGAGAGAGGUGAGUGGAAUACCGAGUGUAGAGGUGAAAUUCGUAGAUAUUCGGUGGAACACCAGUGGCGAAGGCGGCUCACUGGCUCGAUACUGACGCUGAGGUGCGAAAGCGUGUGGAGCAAACAGGAUUAGAUACCCUGGUAGUCCACGC
rnacentral:rRNA from 1 species